rnacentral:rRNA from 1 species
AUGAACGCUAGCGGCAGGCCUAAUACAUGCAAGUCGAACGGGUGUAGCAAUACACUAGUGGCGCACGGGUGCGUAACGCGUAACCAACCUACCGACAACUGGGGGAUAGCCCGCCGAAAGGCGGAUUAAUACCGCAUAUACCAGCAGCCUGGCAUCAGGUAAUUGGGAAAGAUUUAUUGGUUGUCGAUGGGGUUGCGUAGCAUUAGCUAGAUGGCGGGGUAACGGCCCACCAUGGCGACGAUGCUUAGGGGACCUGAGAGGGUGAUCCCCCACACUGGCACUGAGAUACGGGCCAGACUCCUACGGGAGGCAGCAGUAGGGAAUAUUGGGCAAUGGGCGAGAGCCUGACCCAGCCAUGCCGCGUGCCGGAUGAAGGCCUUCUGGGUUGUAAACGGCUUUUCUCAGGGAAGAAAAAGACCAUGCGUGGUACACUGACGGUACCUGAGGAAUAAGCACCGGCUAACUCCGU